rnacentral:lncRNA from 1 species
ACAUAUAAUAUAUGGUAAGUUACUACAUGUAUAAAUCUUGAAAAUUAUGCAAGAAUAUAUGCAAUCCAUAUAGUCUAUAUUAUAGAAAUAAAAGCUCAACUAAUCCUUUACUAGUAGUAAAGGGUUAGUUGAACAAUUAUUUCUAUAAUACAGACUAAAUGGAUUAUUUAUAGUCUUGUUUAACUUUAUAUUUUAGACAUAUGACAUAUUAGUUUAAAUCAGUUGUAAAAUUAAAAAUGUUAACAUCUUUGAUAGGUAUAUUUAUUUAUGUUAGUUACAGCUAAGUUUACAUGGCUAGUUAUUAUGCUUUUAUAAAUUGCAAUUUUUAUUAAUUUCCAAAUUAAACAUGUGGCAUCCAAUAUCAUAAACUAAGAUUAUACUGGUGUGUUUAUGUUAUUUUAGAAUUUUUUGUUUUAGACACAUGGCAUUUGUUAUCCCACUGUAUGUUAAAACUAGUUGUAAAAUUAAAAAAUUUAUAUUGGAACUUCUUUUUCUUUUAACAUUCAUGUUUAUUUAUUUAUACUAUCUUAGAAUUUGCUGCUUUAAAGGCACUGCAUUUAGUGUCAUAUUGUAGGUUUAAAUUGGUUGUAGAAUUUAUAUUGUAACUUGCAUAUUUAUUUAGUUGAGUUUAAUCUAAGUUUAUAUCUGAUGUGUUUGUAUUAUUUUAGAAUUUACUGUUUUAGACACGUGGCAUGUGGUAUCUCACUACACUUGGUAUAAGCUGUCAUACUACACGUGGCAUGUGGUAUCUCACUAAUUAGCUAUUUUAAACAUGUGACAAGUGGUAUGACACUGUGACAAGUGGUAUGACACUUUCUGCAGGGUCAUCCGCUGGCAAAGAGGACCCUCAGUUAGGACGAACGUCAGGCAUCAAAAGCCCUUAAAAGGGAGCUGCGCUCCUACAAUACUAUGACCGAAUAUUCUGAGAAGCACAAACAGUGCUUAGUUGGUGGAAAAGAACAUAUGGCAUAAGAAUCAGUUGCCACUACUAAGCUAGCAAGACAACACCUUUGGACUCGUUUUUUUUUUUUUUUUCAGGAUGGCAACAUUAUUAGUGCAAAAGGAACCAAGUUAGUUCACACGACCUCUACAAGGUUGAUUCCAAUUAAAGCGAACUAUCCUCCGAUGAUGCAUAAAAUAAACCUAAAGCUGCUAACUAAUGCGGAAAAAACGAAAUCGACAAAGAAAUCGAAAAAGAUGAGGAAAUAAAGAGACAAAAGAUAGCCUAUAAACUUUUACCCAUUGGGCACAAGUAAGUUUUGAAAAAGUUUAGUAAACGUUUAAUGGUCGCUUGAACAACGACGCUUGAAUGAGUAAAAACGUUUCAAAAAAGUUUUAAUAAGAAUUUUUUUAUCUUUUA